rnacentral:tRNA from 1 species
GAGAAAAUCUGCAAGGACUGCUAACCCAUGCCCCCGUACUUAAAACCACGGCUUUCUCA